rnacentral:rRNA from 1 species
CCUACGGGGGGCAGCAGUGGGGGAUAUUGCACAAUGGGGGGAACCCUGAUGCAGCGACGCCGCGUGGGUGAAGGAGCGUUUCGGCGCGUAAAGCCCUAUCGGCAGGGAAGAAGAAGGACGGUACCUGACUAAGAAGCCCCGGCUAACUACGUGCCAGCAGCCGCGGUAAUACGGAGGGUGCGAGCGUUAAUCGGAAUUACUGGGCGUAAAGCGCUCGUAGGCGGUAUGUCAAGUCAAGGGUGAAAUCCCCGCGCUCAACGUGAGAACUGCAUUUGAAACUGGCAAACUGGAGUGUGUGAGAGGAUAGUGGAAUUCCAGGUGUAGGAGUAAAAUCCGAAGAGAUCUGGAGGAACAUCAGUGGCGAAGGCGACUAUCUGGCACAUAACUGACGCUGAGGAGCGAAAGCGUGGGUAGCAAACAGGAUUAGAUACUCUUGUAGUC